rnacentral:rRNA from 1 species
UACGUAGGGGGCAAGCGUUGUCCGGAAUCAUUGGGCGUAAAGCGCGUGUAGGCGGCUUGGUAAGUCCGCUCUGAAAGCCCGGGGCUCAACCCCGGAAUGGCUUUCGAAACUGCUGAGCUAGAGUACAGAAGGGGCAACCGGAAUUCCCAGUGUAGCGGUGAAAUGCGUAGAUAUUGGGAAGAACACCUGAGGCGAAGGCGGGUUGCUGGGCUGAUACUGACGCUGAGGCGCGAAAGCCAGGGGAGCAAACGGG